CUGUCCCAGAAGCUGUUAGCUUCUGUAGUGCACACUCUCAACUGUGCAGACUACUUUCGGCAGAGUCCCGGAACCCUGUACCUGACUCUUAGUACUGAGUUAUUUCCCUCCUCCCUCCAGUGUGUGAAACACUCCCUAUGCCAGGCUAAGAUGCCCAUUUUUGUUUUGAUUUGCAAAGGUCAGUAAACAUUUAUAGUGUGCAGGUCCUGUAUUGAUCAGCAGAUGCCGCUGUGGACGUUUAUAGACAGGGUGGCUGAGGAGUCUCCGCUCUGCUGGUGCCUCCCUGGUUUGCUUUGUUCACUGGGUAUUCAGUGUCCCCUACCAUUUCUGUCUUUAGGCACAGCCUCUGGGUUUGAACAGUGCUGUCAGCUAACAGAACAGAAAUGACUCAAAUACAGUGUCUGGUUUUAGUGUGGAUUUAAAGGGAAAUCUUCUAAAAUAGGUCUUUGGACCCCACUCUAUUAGGGCCCCAUCAACGUAUAGAAGUUUCAGCAUUGGCCUGGGGAGAUGGUAUAGUGAGUGUUGUCCCAGGGACAUCAUACAGGGGUGACUUCUGGUUUCUGCACACUCAUAAAUAAAUGAAUGAUGGAUGGAUGUGUGGAUAGGCACCGAGUACUAGGCAUGAGCCUGGAUUUCUUUUAAAUCUUACCAUGGUUUGAAGUUACUUCAGUUUCAAGGUUGUUUCCAUCUUUGAAAUGAUGUAGGGGAGGCCAUCUUAACUGCUCAAGUGGGGACCAUUCCAAUAAUGUCUGUUCCUUUAGCCAUGGUUGACUGUGUGUAAAAGGACAGUGAGCUGAAGAGAAGUAACUAUGAUGAGACAGGCAGUCGGUCAGUAGGUUAGCUGGGCACCUAACAUAGCUGGUCACAGACAAGGCAGACCAGUGUGGCACUCCAGGGCCAGGUGCUCGGGGAAUGGCAUUGACUCACUGGUACUUGAAGUAACGUGUUGUGCAAACAGAAUAGAAUGGUGGCAUCAGCCAAGCCUGGGCUUUCGUGCUGCCUCAGAGUACAGGAUAUGUGUGGCUUUGCUGGGCGCAUGAAGAGGCUUUGUAGAUAGCGUCUGAGGGCGUGGCCAGAGUGGCUCUCUACCCCACUACCUUGCAGGUGAGAAGACCCUGCAUCUGCAAAGGCUGCACACCGUGGCUCUGUGGGGUGCUGCUUGGAGUGGAUGGAUGACGCAAAGAACGGACUGAACCUGGGUCUUGUGAUUUGGGGAUGCUUGUGGCCUAGAGAACAGGUUUUAGGUCUUAGGCAGGGUCAUGUGAUCUCCCUGUGCCUGUUUUAUCUUCUGUAAAAGGAGGCCAACUACCACACAGCACUAAAUGCAGGCACCUUGUAGCAACCAGAUUAGUAUGUGUAAGCUUGGCUGCCAUUGCCAGCUACACUGUGUCACCAGACACUGUGAGUGCUCACCUGAGAUGGCGUUGUUUUUAAAUAAGUGUGUGUGUGUGUGUUUCAUUCACAGAGAUGUAUUUAUGUGUGUGUCCAUGUGUUCACACAUGUGCAUGUGUGCCUAGGAAGGCCCGAAGAUGGUGUCAGAUCCUCUGGAUCUGGACAGUUAUGAGCUGCUUGGUGUGGGAAACUCUGGUCUUCUGCAAGAGAAGUCUUCCCAGCUCAGUUUCUGUGGUUUUGCUUUCCAGGGUUCAUAACUCCUGAUUGCAAAUUUACACUUCAGAUACAGGUAGAUGCAACUUAAAGCAUACUGAAUUUACCCUACCUUUUUUAUUGUGAGAAAAUGUACACAGCAUAAAGCUUAACAUUUGGAUCCUCUAAAUAUGUACAGGGCAGUGGCAUAUUGUGCAUUCACAGCUGUGCAACCAUCACUGUCUAGUUGUGUUGUAUUUUUUUUACCCCUAAGAAUACAGUGCCAAUCACUAGCCCUUUAUUCCCCACUGCUUCUUAAUCCCAGUCUUUUGCAACCACUGGGAUAUAUAUGGCUGUUAGGUAUUUCCAAACACCACAUGCCCUGCUGUGUCUGGGUGCCGUUUCACUGCGUGUGCUUUCAGGCUUUAUUUGUAUGGUAGCAUCUGUUAGUACUAACCGCUUGUUUGGGCAUGGUAAUAUCACACUGGGGAUAUGCCACGUUUUGCUCAAGUUUCCAUCACUGUCCGGCAUUGUGGCUGCUUUGACAUUGGUGUCACAGUGGGUUUUUGGUCUGUGUGCUUUCCUUGUCCUGAUAAUGAAAGUGUAACUGAUAUCAUGUAGGAACAUUAAAAGUACCCAGCUUGAAGGACUGGAGAGCUGCUGCUCUUAAAGAGGAGCUGGAUUUGGUUCUCAGCAGCUCCCAGGAGGCUCAUAGUUGUCUGACUCCAGUUCCAGGGAUUUGAUGUGCUCUGGCCUCCCUGGGGACCUGGUGCACAGACACUGCCACAACUACAUACACAUACACAUAUGUGAAACACAGACAAGGGCAUUGGCGUCACAGCAGGCAGCAUGUCAGGGCACACUUCACUUUCUGUGAAGCUCAACCCUGUGGUAGCUUUCCAGAAUCAGUGGCAGUGCCUCAAGGCUUACAGUCUGGAUGAGGCUAGAUCAGCACCAUGAUAUUAGAGGUCCACAGUACUAUGCUGCAGGGGACAGAAAGUCACCAAGGGCUCAGGCUUAGAAAGGUAAAAGCGAGUAGACUCUCAGUGAUUGAAGUGGCCCAGGUCUGAGUAUUAGCUGUCUCCUGCCCUCACCACUCUUCUGUCUCAGUCCUGGCUUGUGUGUCUAUCUAUUCUACAUAGAACUUGGAAUUCAGGAAAGAGUCCUGCUGUUAGCGUGUUCUUUAGGCUCAUGCAUGGUGCCUUGCGGUGAUUGCAUGAUAGAGAACAGCAGGGAAGAAGGGCAAAAGUCAGUGUCUCCCUCUGCGUUAAGGUCAACCUGUGCAAGUGAGUUUCUGCUGGAAUAGACAUUCAUCUGUUACCAGUCUGAUCACAGUGGGAUUUGUCAGAGCAAGGAAACCUUCUCACAUCACACUGGACCUGUGGGAGAUACGUAAAACUAAUCUGUCAGGACCACCACUGUGCAUGCCCUUUGACCUAGAAGAACUCUGCUCCUAGUAAUUGACUAUGUGGUGUUGUGUGACAAGUUUUGAAACUCCAGGUUCAAAAAUACAGUUUAAGUGUUCACCAGUCAUGAAUCAGGUGGCUAGAUUCAUGGAGGCUCACAUGCUAGCCAUUCACUGGAUGGAGGGAGGUACUCUGUCCUAGUAGGGAACCCUUCCUAAGACAGUGUGGAGGGGAGGGGUGAAGAAGGUGAUAAGGAAGGGCCAGUCUGAUACACUUCCCCUGUGAUACCUAGUACCUGAAAAGGAAGGAGAGCAAGGUCUUGAUGCAUGCACAUCUGUAAGGUACUGCCGCCGCCGCCUCCCUGAAUACCCAGGGCAGGGCAGAGAGACCUGGGGUCUGGUAGAUGUGCACUGAAUUGGAGAUGCCUCUGUCUAAGGUUUCCAUUACAGUCUUACACAUGGAGUGGCGUGUCACCCCAAGAGUAGGUGAUGUAAGCUCGGUGACUUGUCAUCUUCCUUGCUGUGGUUUCUUUGCUGGAAGCAAGUCAGAAGGUCCCGAGGCAGAGUGUAUGAAGCAGGACUUGCUGGACAAACAAAGCUGUCUUUAGAGUGCACAUCAUGACAGCCAUCAGUUCUUCGAGCUAAAAGCUUGCUUCUGUGGGAAUGGAGUGAUGCUAGGAUUACAAGCCAGUAAGAUGGGUAUGAGAUGGGAUGGGGGCUACUGCACACAGAAGGUAGAGUCACUACUGCCUCAGCUUAACCCUUCAGCCCAGAGCCAAGCCUUGCCAUCUCACCUUUGGGCCUAGGCCUGUGCUAGAACUCUGGAGUGGCAGUGCUCUCUGCCUUCAUGGCGCCACAACGAAAUACCUUCAUGGUUCCAGACCGUGUCUGGGUCUUAGUCUCACAGAUUUUCAUCCAUAGCCCUAGACCCUGUCUGAUCUGGUUAUCUGUGUGAAGUGUUGGUAGUAGUAGACUUUGUACCUCACAUAAAUGUAUUGGUGUUAGUUUGAAAAACAGGAAUUCAAGAACCUUCUGAAGGCAGCAGAACCAUCCAAGUUCAACUCCUGUAGACGUUGUCGUUGCCCACCCCAAUCGCCUAUCUCUUCUUACUGAGUUUGUAAUAUAUUUAUGUUAAACUAUGUAGGUUUUUACUUUAUGUUGAGUUAUCAAGCUUGCUUCUUACUUGCUGGCUUUCCCUUUCUUUCUCACAAACUGUUUCAAUUCUUCGUGUACAGUUCCUGAGCACAGAGACCAAAGGACAUCAAGCGUCUUCUCAGCUCCCCACCUUCCCAGCUCCCCACCUCACCCUCUUGAGGCUGGAUCUCUCCCUGAAUCCAGAGCAUGUAAUGGCCCGGGGUGCUGUUGCCACACUUUCCUGGUCCUGCUCCAUGGACGUGUGUGAUGCCAGCGCCACAGAGACUGCAGGCUGCUGUCUGCAAUCUGCUUUUGUUCAAGGUAAAAGUUGUCUUUUUAGAUUGUAAAGGAUCAGUAUGUGCAGCAUAAAACAUGCAAAUCUAAGUUUAAAGGUUUCCCCUUCUAAAGUUGUUGAUACAUAACACAGUAAAUGUUUGGGCUUCUUUGACUGCCCUGAUGAGAUGCUCAUGUGUAGCUUCAGCUCAUUUCCAGGACGUACACAAACCAAGCCCUUGCCAUCUGCUUCUGCUCUGUUUGCUGAGGUGCACCGUUUGAAUGCGGUGCGGCCCUUUAAUCACGCCCAGCAUUCUGUCUAAGUCGCUUUCCAUGAUUUGUAUACAAAAGUCACUUCCCAGGAGAGGAAGGCUCACGAGCUUGAAGUGUGCACACACUAACAUCAGAGACCUUCAGUUUUGGAAGUAAUUUGAAAGAAAUGAGCACAGUUUUAAAAAAAGAAAUUGGAACCACAUUUAAAGGUAUUUAUGUGAAAUGAGAAAGAGUUUGUCCUUGUCUGCCUUUCUUGUAGGUUAAUACAUGCUGUGUAACUUCCAGGAUGAGGUUCUUUUUUUGUAGUAGAAAUGAUAAAAUGGUAACUCAAAAAUUUGAAAUCUAAAGUUUUAUUUAUAUCUAAAGAUAAUUUUAUAUCUUUAUAUCUAAAGAUAUUAAUAUGCCUUAAAGGUAGUGAUAAGCCUAUAUUAGUGAUCCUGAAGUAUUAGAUUGCUAGAAAGAUCUGAUUUAAAGAGACAGUUGCAGAGCAGUGAGGUGGCUCUGCAGAGAAGGGAGCUUGCUGCAAGCAAAUGGUGACCUGAGUUCAGUUUCCGGGCUGCAUAUAGUGUAAGGAGAGCCAGCUCCUGUAAGUUGUCCUCUGAUUCCCCACAUGUGCUAUGGUAUACAGGUGUCCACACUUUCACGAACACACACACACACACAUGCGCGCACACAUGCGCACGCACGCACGCACAGAUGCACACAUAAGAACAAUUUUUUAAAAUAUAAAAAUAUGGCUUGGUGUGGUGAUGCACAGUAUUUCCCCAUCAUAAAAUACAGCAGUUAAAAAGGGAAUGCCGUUUCCUUCUCAGGUUUCAGCAUGAUUGAUACUUUCAUUUGUGGCCAAAGUAUUUUUUUCUAAUGAGACAUUUUGAAACCAAAAAUGACACAGUUUUAGGGCGUGAUGAUAGGUCACUGAGGAUGGUCUUCCUCUUCCCACUAGUUAGUGUCUUCCAGUAGAAAGGCUUCUCAUAAACAGCUCUCCCACAGGACCUGCCCUAGGCGUCUCCUUAGUAGCACACCUCCUUAUUAGGAGGACACCUCUCUCUCCCCUUCUUUUGGAGAGUCACAUGAAGCACAGACUGCUCAGCUUUCCCAGAGUCACUCUGCUCCUGUUCACUUGUGGGAGCCUGUGUUCUCGAAUCCGGGCAAGGCUGGAAAGGAGUCGUCAUCUCAGGUGGAGGUCAAAGCUCAGAAUUCUCUUAACCCUUAUAUGCUCUAUUAAGGUAGUUUCUGGGCUGCCAUUUCCCCAGCGUUGGCCAGCGGGGGUUCGAGGACAGGGAGCAGGUGUGAGACCCAAAGUUACUCUGGGAACUUCACUUUCUAGUGUAGGUGCUUAAUUGGUAUGUUGAUUGAGAGCACCUGCUGGUUCAUUUUCCCUGGUACUGAGAAACACAAGGCCUUCGUUACUUCCUCAGUGUAGUGAAAUAUUAAGACCCAACAUAUCUGGUAGUUAA